rnacentral:rRNA from 1 species
UACAGGGGGUGCAAACGUUGCUCGGAAUCAUUGGGCGUAAAGCGCACGUAGGCGGUUCGUUAUGUCGGAUGUGAAAACCCGGAGCUCAACUCCGGGCCUGCAGUCGAUACGGGCGGACUCGAGUUCGGCAGGGGAGAACGGAAUUCCCGGUGUAGCGGUGAAAUGCGCAGAUAUCGGGAGGAACACCGGUGGCGAAGGCGGUUCUCUGGGCCUGUACUGACGCUGAGGAGCGAAAGCGUGGGGAGCGAACAGG